rnacentral:rRNA from 1 species
UACAGAGGGUGCGAGCGUUAAUCGGAAUUACUGGGCGUAAAGCGCACGUAGUCGGCUUUGCAAGUCGGGUGUGAAAUCCCCGGGCUCAACCUGGGAACUGCAUCCGAGACUGCAUUGCUAGAGUAUGGGAGAGGGAAGCGGAAUUUCUGGUGUAGCAGUGAAAUGCGUAGAUAUCAGAAGGAACAUCAGUGGCGAAGGCAGCUCGCUGGGACGUGACUGACGCUGAGACGCGAAAGCGUGGGGAGCAAACAGG